UACGGGGGGGGCAAGCGUUGUUCGGAAUUACUGGGCGUAAAGGGCUCGUAGGUGGCCAACUAAGUCAGACGUGAAAUCCCUCGGCUUAACCGGGGAACUGCGUCUGAUACUGGAUGGCUGGAGAUUGGGAGAGGGAUGCGGAAUUCCAGGUGUAGCGGUGAAAUGCGUAGAUAUCUGGAGGAACACCGGUGGCGAAGGCGGCAUCCUGGACCAACACUGACGCUGAGGAGCGAAAGCUAGGGGAGCAAACGGG
rnacentral:rRNA from 1 species